rnacentral:rRNA from 1 species
AUUGAACGCUGGCGGUAGGCCUAACACAUGCAAGUCGAACGGUAGCACAGAGGAGCUUGCUCCUUGGGUGACGAGUGGCGGACGGGUGAGGAAUGCAUCGGAAUCUACUCUUUCGUGGGGGAUAACGUAGGGAAACUUACGCUAAUACCGCAUACGACCUACGGGUGAAAGCAGGGGACCUUCUAGGCCUUGCGCGAUUGAAUGAGCCGAUGUCCGAUUAGCUAGUUGGCGGGGUAAUGGCCCACCAAGGCGACGAUCGGUAGCUGGUCUGAGAGGAUGAUCAGCCACACUGGAACUGAGACACGGUCCAGACUCCUACGGGAGUCAGCAGUGGGGAAUAUUGGACAAUGGGCGCAAGCCUGAUCCAGCCAUACCGCGUGGGUGAAGAAGGCCUUCGGGUUGUAAAGCCCUUUUGUUGGGAAAGAAAAGCAGCCGGCUAAUACCCGGUUGUUCUGACGGUACCCAAAGAAUAAGCACCGGCUAACUUCGUGCCAGCAGCCGCCGUAAGAC